GUCGGCAUGAUAAAAGCUGACACGGACAGCAGGCACCAUCCAUGUGUGGAAGAGCGUCUCCAGGAUGUUUCUGGCCACGGCGUCAGUCACCAAGUGGAGGUGCAGUGGAUUUUUCCUUUUGGGUGGGCAAAGAGGAAGCCUGAGAGGCCCCAGCAGGAGCAACAUGGGACAGCCCCCACCCCGAGGGGCGCAGAGAUGGAAGCGCCAUCUGCAAAGAGCUUUUCCACGCCCGGCUCAGGAUGUUCUUACAACUGCCCUUCUAAGGGAGGAAGGGGACACUGUCCCCGCGUCACAGAUGAGGAAGCUGAAGCUCUGAGACCAGCAGCCUGUCCCGGGCUUUGUCCCUUCCCCACUCCUGACCCUCCUCCACGGACACCUGGCUGUACCUGUAGAAGAGCAUGGACUUCACCAGGGUGAUGACGUCUCGGCUGGAGUUAUGCCCCGCACACACGAUGGCCACAUGCAAGAGCUGGGGAGGGACGCCCAGGUCGGCAGCAGCCCCCCUUCUCCGCUAGGCGGUGAGGACCCAUGUUGAGCUGCCCCACCCCGCAGCAGAGCCCGGAACAGUGUGCGGAGGGGGCAGCAGGAGCCAACCCUUCAUUUCAAAUGGGGAAAUGAGGUCGGGAGCAGAGGAGCUGCACGUUCGAGGUGCGCCCCAGCCGGCUGGCCAGUGCUGGACAGACGCCAGGUACUGUGAUUCCCGCAGAUGUCCAAGAGGCCGGGCUCGGGGGCGGCGCCCCCAGGACUCCCGCCGCCAGGGCCGCGCGCACCUACCUCGCACUUGGGCGGCGGCGGCGGCUGCGGGCCGCAGUCGGAGCGGUUGUGGUCCCCGGGGCCGGCCCCCGGGUCUCCGUCGAGGGCGGCGGCUCUCCGCAGCCUCCCGUCUGGGGGGACACGUGGCAUGAGCGGGCCGGGGAAGCAUCCCGGGGCCCCCGCUCGCCCGCCAGGCUCGCGGCGCUCACACCCCAGGUCCCCACCGAACAGGAGGAAUCCGAGCAGCAGCAGC
rnacentral:lncRNA from 1 species